AAGGGCACCACAAGAACGCGUGGAGCAUGUGGCUUAAUUUGACUCAACGCGGGAAAUCUUACCGGGUCCGGACACACUGAGGAUUGACAGGCGAUUGUGGUUUCUCCCUUGUUGGAGUUUCCACUAUAAAUAUGCUAGUCCUUUCAUGAUUGUGUGAUAGGUGGUGCAUGGCCGUUCUUAGUUCGUGGAGUGAUCUGUCUGCUUAAUUGCGUUUCACAAAGAGCUUUCUAACUUCCAUCUGUUGCGCGUUGCACUUCGGUGCUUCGUCGCACGGUGGAGAAAAAGCUCUGAAGGCAACGAACGUGACCGCAACCUCUUGUUGCCUCCUUUUUUAUAAAACAUGGUUGUCUGUUUGCUUCGGCAUCAGGCUUCCUGCACGGAGUUUUUGCAAACUAGAGGGACCGCUGACAACUUUUAAAACAGAGGAAGGUUGCGGCAAUAACAGGUCUGUGAUGCCCUUAGAUGUUCCGGGCUGCACACGUGCUACAAUGAUUAUUGCAGUGAGCAUCUAAUUUUACAAGACUUGAGUUUGGUGUUUUGUUGCUUCGGUAACGUUACACCACUCAGUCACUGACCUACUUCGAAAGUAAGUAGGUAAUCAAUUCGAAGUAAUGAUUUCCUUUUCGCACAUACUUAUAUCUCAUGUUUGUAGCCGUGCUUUCAGCUUGUCUGUCAGUAUUGUUUGUUACCUUGAGAUAUGUGCUCCAUUAAUUCAUGGUGGGGACAGACCAUUGUUAAUUGUUGGUCUCGGUCUCAACUAGGAAUGCCUUGUACGGGUCUUUGGUUCAACAAACCACCCGGAAUAUGUCCCUGCCCUUUGUACACACCGCCCGUCGCUCUUACCGAUGGACUUCUCUGUGAGUAUAGAGGACUGGCUAGCUAUUUAUAGCAAGCUAUGGAAAUCUACGCGAACAGCGAGGUCUAAAGGAAAGAGAAGUCGAACAAGGCA
rnacentral:rRNA from 1 species